rnacentral:rRNA from 1 species
GCGUGAGUAACCUGCCCUGGAGUGGGGGACAACCGUCGGAAACGACUGCUAAUACCGCAUAAGCCCACGGCCCGGCAUCGGGCUGAGGGAAAAGGAUUUAUUCGCUUCAGGAUGGACUCGCGUCCAAUUAGCUAGUUGGUGAGGUAACGGCCCACCAAGGCGACGAUUGGUAGCCGGACUGAGAGGUUGAACGGCCACAUUGGGACUGAGACACGGCCCAGACUCCUACGGGAGGCAGCAGUGGGGGAUAUUGCACAAUGGGGGAAACCCUGAUGCAGCGUUUUCUGCGUGGAGGAAGAAGGUUUUCGGAUUGUAAACUCCUGUCGUUAGGGACGAUAAUGACGGUACCUAACAAGAAAGCACCGGCUAACUACGUGCCAGCAGCCGCGGUAAAACGUAGGGUGCAAGCGUUGUCCGGAAUUACUGGGUGUAAAGGGAGCGCAGGCGGACCGGCAAGUUGGAAGUGAAAACUAUGGGCUCAACCCAUAAAUUGCUUUCAAAACUGCUGGGCCUUGAGUAGUGCAGAGGUAGGUGGAAUUCCCGGUGUAGCGGUGGAAUGCGUAGAUAUCGGGAGGAACACCAGUGGCGAAGGCGACCUACUGGGCACCAACUGACGCUGAGGCUCGAAAGCAUGGGUAGCAA